CGGGUGAGUAACACGUGGAUAACCUACCUAUAAGACUGGGAUAACUUCGGGAAACCGGAGCUAAUACCGGAUAAUAUAUUGAACCGCAUGGUUCAAUAGUGAAAGACGGUUUUGCUGUCACUUAUAGAUGGAUCCGCGCCGCAUUAGCUAGUUGGUAAGGUAACGGCUUACCAAGGCAACGAUGCGUAGCCGACCUGAGAGGGUGAUCAGCCACACUGGAACUGAGACACGGUCCAGACUCCUACGGGAGGCAGCAGGA
rnacentral:rRNA from 1 species